rnacentral:rRNA from 1 species
GAUGAACGCUGGCGGCGUGCCUAAUACAUGCAAGUCCAGCGACGCGGGGACGGGUGAGUAACACGUGGAUAACCUCCUAUAAGACUGGGAUAACUUAGGGAAAACGGAGAUAAACCGGAUACUUAUAGCUGGAUCCGCGCUGCAUUAGCUAGUUGGUAAGGUAACGGUUUACCAAGCCAACGAUGCAUACCCGUCCUGAUAGUGUGUUCGGCCAGCCUGGAACUUAGUCACGGUCCAGGCUCCUACGAUAGGCGGCAGUAGGAAAUCUUCCGCAAUGGGCGAAAUCCUGGUGGGGCAAUGCCGCUUGAGUGUUGAAGGUCUUCGGAUCGUAAUACUCUGUUUUUAGGGUUGCGGUACCUAAUCAGAAAGCCAUGGCUAAUUACGUGCCAGCAGCCGCGGUAAUAC